GAUGAACGCUGGCGGCGUGCCUAAUACAUGCAAGUCGAGCGAACGGACGAGAAGCUUGCUUCUCUGAUGUUAGCGGCGGACGGGUGAGUAACACGUGGAUAACCUACCUAUAAGACUGGGAUAACUUCGGGAAACCGGAGCUCAUACCGGAUAAUAUUUUGAACCGCAUGGAUCAAAAGUGAAAGACGGUCUUGCUGUCACUUAUAGAUGGAUCCGCGCUGCAUUAGCUAGUUGGUAAGGUAACGGCUUACCAAAGCAACGAUGCAUAGCCGACCUGAGAGGGCGAUCGGCCACACUGGAACUGAGACACGGUCCAGACUCCUACGGGAGGCAGCAGUAGGGAAUCUUCCGCAAUGGGCGAAAGCCUGACGGAGCAACGCCGCGUGAGUGAUGAAGGUCUUCGGAUCGUAAAACUCUGUUAUUAGGGAAGAACAUAUGUGUAAGUAACUGUGCACAUCUUGACGGUACCUAAACAGAAAGCCACGGCUAACUACGUG
rnacentral:rRNA from 1 species